rnacentral:rRNA from 1 species
GGCGAACGCUGGCGGCGUGCUUAACACAUGCAAGUCGAACGGAAAGGCCCUGCUUUUGUGGGGUGCUCGAGUGGCGAACGGGUGAGUAACACGUGUGUAACCUGCCCUUGACUUUGGGAUAACUUCAGGAAACUGGGGCUAAUACCGGAUAGGAGCUCCUGCUGCAUGGUGGGGGUUGGAAAGUUUCGGCGGUUGGGGAUGGACUCGCGGCUUAUCAGCUUGUUGGUGGGGUAGUGGCUUACCAAGGCUUUGACGGGUAGCCGGCCUGAGAGGGUGACCGGCCACAUUGGGACUGAGAUACGGCCCAGUCUCCUACGGGAGGCAGCAGUGGGGAAUAUUGCACAAUGGGCGGAAGCCUGAUGCAGCAACGCCGCGUGCGGGAUGACGGCCUUCGGGUUGUAAACCGCUUUCGCCUGUGACGAAGCGUGAGUGACGGUAAUGGGUAAAGAAGCACCGGCUAACUACGUG